rnacentral:rRNA from 1 species
CCUACGGGGGGCUGCAGUGAGGAAUAUUGGACAAUGGGCGCAAGCCUGAUCCAGCCAUGCCGCGUGCAGGAUGACGGUCCUAUGGAUUGUAAACUGCUUUUAUACGAGAAGAAACACUCCUUCGUGAAGGAGCUUGACGGUAUCGUAAGAAUAAGGAUCGGCUAACUCCGUGCCAGCAGCCGCGGUAAUACGGAGGAUCCAAGCGUUAUCCGGAAUCAUUGGGUUUAAAGGGUCCGUAGGCGGUCUUGUAAGUCAGUGGUGAAAGCCCAUCGCUCAACGGUGGAACGGCCAUUGAUACUGCUAGACUUGAAUUAUUAGGAAGUAACUAGAAUAUGUAGUGUAGCGGUGAAAUGCUUAGAGAUUACAUGGAAUACCAAUUGCGAAGGCAGGUUACUACUAAUGGAUUGACGCUGAUGGACGAAAGCGUGGGUAGCGAACAGGAUUAGAUACCCCGGUAGUC